rnacentral:rRNA from 1 species
UACGGAGGAUACGAGCGUUAUCCGGAUUUAUUGGGUUUAAAGGGUGCGUAGGCGGGAUGCCAAGUCAGCGGUCAAAUACGGGGGCUCAACCUGCGUCCGCCGUUGAAACUGGCGUUCUUGAGUGGGCGAGAAGUACGCGGAAUGCGUGGUGUAGCGGUGAAAUGCAUAGAUAUCACGCAGAACCCCGAUUGCGAAGGCAGCGUACCGGCGCCCAACUGACGCUGAAGCACGAAAGCGUGGGUAUCGAACAGG